UAAAACACUUCGCUCUGAUGCAAAAUUAGUUAUUACUCACAAACUUCAUAUGGUAAUUUAGAUACUUUUGCGAAUCGUACUUUAUACAGGAAACAGUUAAACACGAAACCCUAUAUAUCGAACCACAGGUCAUCAAAUAAACCUGAGGCAUUAGCCCGCAACACCAAUGAACUAUAUUGUGCUAAGCUAGGAAACUAGGCCACAGGUACAGUAAAGCAAAGUGGCUCACAAUUGGUGCCAGCAGCCGCGGUUAAACCAGAACUCAAAACUAAUUCCCACACAAAACAGGAGCACCCAAAAAUCUUGACUAAAACCUUAUCAAGCAAAGGUGAAAUUUAUAUCUAAAUAAACAUACCCAAACAAGUCGUUUAAAGGUUGCACCCAACAAACCACAUCAACAAAACACGGAUUAGAUACCCGUUUAUUGCGUGGCCCAACAUCAUCAAACUCUAAAGACGAAAGUCCCAAACUUAAAGAGCGUGGCGGUAUUCUACACCUUAUUAGGGGAUCCUGUGACUUAAUUCGAUAACCCACGAAACACCCAAGCUUUGUUAGCCCACAGUUUAUGUAUGGCCGUUUUAAGUCUGCGUAUUAAAAACAAAAAAGGAGACACUCAAGCAAACCCUUGACUAACACAGGUGACAUAUAGCCAACACAAAGCGGUCCAUGGGAUACAAAUGCACACACCACCCGAAAAUAAGUGAAAACUUUUUGAAAGGAGGACUUAAAAGUAAGAUUACAACAACACUUUAAUCUGAACAAGAACUAGAAUGCGCACAAAUCGCCCGUCAUUCCUGAUACUUAAAUUAGGACAAGUCGUAACACAGUAGGGGUAGCGGAAGCUGCCCCUAGUAUAAC
rnacentral:ncRNA from 1 species